CUACGGGGUGCAGCAGUGGGGAAUAUUGCACAACGGAGGAAACUCUGAUGCAGCAACGCCGCGUGGAGGAUGACACUUUUCGGAGCGUAAACUCCUUUUAUAUAGGAAGAAGAUGACGGUACUAUAUGAAUAAGCGCCGGCUAACUCCGUGCCAGGCAGCCGCGGUAAUACGGAGGGCGCAAGCGUUACUCGGAAUCACUGGGCGUAAAGAGCGUGUAGGCGGAUUAAAAAGUCAGAAGUGAAAUCCUAUAGCUUAACUAUAGAACUGCUUCUGAAACUCUUAAUCUAGAAUAUGGGAGAGGUAGAUGGAAUUUCUGGUGUAGGGGUAAAAUCCGUAGAGAUCAGAAGGAAUACCGAUUGCGAAGGCGAUCUACUAGAACAUUAUUGACGCUGAGACGCGAAAGCGUGGGGAGCAAACAGGAUUAGAUACCCUGGUAGUC
rnacentral:rRNA from 1 species